AGACUUCUAUAGUCUGUACACUAAGCAGUAUGAAGACCCAGUAUCAAAUUAAAAUAAGUGGACAGUCCCAGACUUCAGUGACAAAGCGCCUUGAUUCCAGCAGUGAUUCCCCAGUCUGCUUUCGCUUUGGGUUUCCAUUGUGACCAUUAACUGCUGAAACUGAGCCCAGAGCCCAUGAUCACAAGAUCUGAACGUCGUUGCGAGGGAUCCUAAAGAGGAAGCAAGAGCUGAGAUGCUGGUGAAGCAGGAAUCAUCCUGGAACUGUCAGGAUGGGAGUUGGAACACUAAGGAAGGAACAAACGGGGAAUGCCAAUUCAUCUGGAACUUCAGAGUGUUGAGAGUACUAUCAGGAUGAAAACUGCCACCAGCUGCUGCUAAGAAGCUGUCAUCAGUCAGCAUUUUGGGACUCUUCCAAACCUAACUUGCUGGGCAGUCCAAAGCAAUGGGUGUUCUGUUUAUGUUAUAAUUCUUAAGAGUUGAGAAAGUAGCAAUUAGUGGGAAAACUAUAUAGCUGAUGUUUGUACUGGAAGAAGUCCAGUUGGGUAUCUUGUCUAGAUAACAGUUAACUUUCUUAAUAUUUGAAAGCUCAGUCUUGCUAGAGGUUGUUGUUAGGACCCAAGACCAUCAGUAGAAUUACAGAGUGGUUCCAUCUGCUCUAUUCCCUGUAAAUUCGUCCAGCUUCUUUGAUCUAUUUAAUAUAGCCUUGUGUGAGCUAUA